rnacentral:rRNA from 1 species
GACGUAGGGCGCGAGCGUUGUCCGGAUUUAUUGGGCGUAAAGAGCUCGUAGGCGGCUUGUCGCGUCGGCUGUGAAAACCCGCGGCUCAACUGUGGGCGGGCAGCUGAUACGGGCAGGCUGGAGUUCGGUAGGGGAGACUGGAAUUCCUGGUGUAGCGGUGAAAUGCGCAGAUAUCAGGAGGAACACCGGUGGCGAAGGCGGGUCUCUGGGCCGAUACUGACACUGAGGCACGAAGGCCAGGGGAGCAAACGGG